GGGCCGGUUCGGCGGAGCAGGAGCAGGAGCAGGAGCAGGAGCGGCGGCAGCAUGAACCGUUUCAGGGCGUCCAAGUUCCGGCACGCGCUGGCCCGGUCGCAGCGCAAGGAGGCCUGGAUUGGGGAUAUCCGAGCUGGCAGCACUGUCUCCUAUGGGAACCAGAUCAAGGCCAGCUGCCGCUUGAUAGCGUUUAAUGCUGAUUCAGCAGGUGUGUUGGGUGUCGUACCCCUGGACUGCCAAGAUGGAGGCAAGAGGGCUGUGUCUCAGCUGCGCUGCCAUUCAGAUACGGUGACAGACUUUGACUUCUCUCCAUUUGACCAGCUGUUACUGGCGACAGGCUCUGCUGAUAAGACGGUGAAAGUGUGGUGUCUGUCUGAAAAUGGUCAGGACUUGCCUGCCUGUGCGGGGGUGAUCCUGGGGCCUGAGGGGUGCCAAGUGGACAUGCUCCAGUUCCACUCCACUGCAGAUGGUGUGCUGGCGAGCGGAGCUGGCAGGACAGUGAAGAUCUGGGACGUGGCCCAGCAGCAGUCCCUGACAGAACUGGAAUCUCAUGGUGACCAGCUCCAGAGUUUGGCCUGGAAACAAGAUGGUGCCCUCCUUGGCACUUCCUGUAAGGACAAGAAGCUAAGGAUCUUUGACCCAAGAGCCAAGCCUGCUGCCUCACAGAGUGUGCAGGGACAUGAGAACAACAAGGAUUCCAGGCUGAUCUGGAUGGAUGCCAGUGACUACCUCCUCUCUGUUGGAUUCAACCAGAUGCGGGAGCGUGAGGUGAAGCUCUGGGAUACACGGCGGUUCAGCGGCUCACUCCUCUCCUGUGCUCUGGACAGCUCCCCAGGGGCUGCGAUCCCACUCUUCGACACCGACACAGGUCUCUUGGUUGUGGCUGGAAAGGGUGAAAACCUCCUCUACUGCUUUGAAGUGUCCCCCUUGCAGCCAGCCCUGACACAGGUUAACCAGUGUGUGACAGAGGGCAAGACCCGGGGCGCUGCCCUGGUGCCGAAGCUGGCACUGGACGUCAUAGCCUGUGAGGUGGCCAGAGUCUUGCAGUUGACAGACAGCUUCAUUGUGCCCGUCAGCUACACUGUGCCCCGUAAGUCUGUUCAGGAGUUUCAUGAAGAUCUCUUUCCUGAUUCUGCUGGGACCCUGCCAUCAGCAUCUUCCCAGGAAUGGUGGUCAGGAGACAACAAACAGGUGGGGAAGGUGAGCCUGAACCCAGCCCGGAGACCCAAGGAGACCUUCACCUUCAGCUUGUUCCCCCAUGCCCAGCAGGAGUGUCUGCCUCAUGACUCCAGGUGGCUAGAUGCUGGUUCUGUGGACCUGGACCGAAGUGAUGCCAGUGGCCUCUCUUCUCCCUCCAGCUCCCUGACUUCUCCCAGCAUGGCCCUGUCUGUCUCCACCACCAGUGGCUUUGCCAGCAGCUCCAGUCAAAGGUCCCUGCAGAGCAUUCUGGGCCCCAGCUCAAAGUUCCGCCACACCCAGGGAACAGUCCUGCAUCGUGACACCCACAUCACCAACCUCAAGGGGCUCAACCUCACCACUCCGGGAGAGUGCAAUGGUUUCUGUGCCAACCGGCAGCGCCUGGCAGUCCCACUGCUGUCAUCUGGUGGGCAGAUUGCCAUCCUCGAGCUCUCCAAGCCAGGCCGUCUGCCUGACACCUCCAUACCCACCAUCCAGAAUGGGACGCCUGUCGCAGACUUCUGUUGGGACCCCUUUGACCUGCAGCGCCUUGCAGUCGCUGGGGAAGAUGCCAAAAUCCGGAUCUGGCAAAUCCCUCCAGGAGGGCUGCAGAAGACGCUGCUAGAACCAGAGGCUGUGCUUCGAGGUCAUACAGAGAAAAUCUACUCCAUCCAAUUCCACCCGCAAGCUGCCAACAUCCUGGCCUCUUCCUCCUAUGACAUGACGGUGCGGGUCUGGGACCUAUGUACCAAGCAGGAGGUGCUGUGCCUGAAGGGACACACUGACCAGAUCUUCAGCCUAGCCUGGAGCCCUGAUGGGCAGAAGCUGGCCACGGUCAGCAAGGAUGGCCGGGUGCGGCUCUACGAGCCCCGGCGGUCGCUGGAGCCCGAGCAGGAUGGCCCAGGCCCUGAGGGCAGCCGAGGUGCCCGUGUGGUCUGGGCAUGUGGUGGCCACUACCUGCUGGUCUCUGGCUUUGAUAGCCGCAGUGAGCGCCAGUUGUAUCUGUACAAGGCUGACUCCCUGUCUGCUGGGCCUGUGGCAGUGGGCACUGUCGAUGUGUCUCCCUCCACCCUCAUCCCCUUCUAUGACGAGGACACCAGCGUUGUCUUCCUGACAGGCAAGGGGGACACAAGAGUCUUUAUCUACGAGAUUGUCACCGAGGCGCCCUUCUUCUUGGAGUGCAACAGCUUUUCUUCCAGCGACCCCCAUAAGGGCUUCGUGUUCCUGCCCAAGACUACGUGCAACGUGCGGGAGGUGGAGUUUGCCAGGGCCCUGCGUCUGAGGCAGAGCUCUGUGGAGCCAGUUGUCUUCAAGGUGCCCAGAGUCAAGAAGGAAUUCUUCCAGGAUGACAUCUUUCCCCCCACAACCAUGUGGUGGGAGCCAGCCCUCACUGCCACUGCAUGGCUCACAGGCAGCAACGCGCAGCACCAAAUGUUGAGCCUCCAGCCCAAGGACAUGACUCCAGUGAGCGAGGCCCCGAAGGAUGUCCCAGUCAGGAAGUAUGCCCCAUCAUCUGUCUACCUGGAGGAGAAGUCUGAUGAGCAGAAGAAAGAGGAGUUGCUGAGCGCGAUGGUGGCCAAGCUGGGCAACCGUGAGGACCCCCUCCCUCAGGACUCCUUUGAAGGGGUGGAUGAAGACGAAUGGGACUAGUCUUGGCAAGGCAGUCCUGUUCCUUCAGCACCACAAUCUCCUCAUAUCUGAAGCUGUCUGGAUCCUUGCCUCCCUUCCUUGUAUUCUCAGGCCAAGAAGCCAGGCACCCCAAAGCCAGCGCCAAGGCUUCGCAAGCAACUGGACUGCACCCCACUCGAACAGUGCUUACUCUGAAGAAUCUCCCAUGCCCACUCUAGUGUGCAAACCUCCCUGGUGGAGACCUGGACCAUCUGCUGGACCUUCUCCCAAGUGCCCACAGAAGCCACCUGCCUUUCUGUCUGGGGGCUCCAAGUUCUGAGUCAGCUGCUGGUCCAGCAUCAUCUCUGCAAAGGAACUGGCAGGGUGUCUGAGGCCAAGCCCUCCUCUAGUCUCUAAUGAUCUGUCAGAGGAGGUGGGGAGGGGUGGUGCUGGCCAUACCUCCCCCUGCUUUGUCUUCUGAGUUUGCUUGCUCCUAGCUAGAGCAGUAUUAUGUCAGCAAGUCACACAGGCAUGGGGGCUAGGUGUGCUCUGGCUGGUUGUCAUAUACACACUUCUGCUGUGGGGAGUGCAGUGGGUUAGUGAUAAUUCAGGGACCAACCAUUCCCCAAAACUGCCCUCAAGAGCAUGUGGAGGGGACAGGGCCUUGGGACUGUGCCAUCCAGGUUGGCCUGGCCCGAGGCAGCUGUGUUCAUGGCUGCAGUCACCCUCAGUUUUGCCAGAGUUAUGGCUCAGGCCCUCAUUCAGCACAGUGCCUAAGUGCCUCACUUCAAGCCUGUACUUACAUCUGUCCACAUUCAACAAAGGACCAGCACAUUGCUUGGAGGUACUGACUUGCUCUGUUUCUUUCACUUAAGCAGGUGCUAUUGAGACCAAAGGGCAUGGGUGGGCACCUUCAUAACACAGGGCAUGACCAGUUCUAACCCAGCAUACCUGAUUGUAGACCCUACUGGUCCCAGCACAGCCAUUGCCUGGUGCUCUCUGAAUAGUAGAAAUGCCAGUGCCUCCCCAUAGAGGUAAAGCCCAGUGAAACUUUUCUUGAGUUUACUGUGUCAGUUUUCUAUAGCAAGGGCACCAGCCCUUCCUGUUGUGCAUCAGUCCUUAGCCUGAGUCUGGAUGGCAAGCAGGGGCCGAACAACAGAGAAAUGCCACCAGUCAGCAGGAAAUGGCCCCUUUGUGGGCAGUUCCAACAGAGAACCCAGGGGCAAUAUGGGCUGUGCAAAUCAAACUGCCCAGCCAGCCCUGGCGCUCUCCAGUUCAGGGGUGAGGCAGGGAGCACAGUGCUGUGCCACUGCUCAUGUGGGACCUGUUCUGGAAACUGUCAGACCCCAGGUGGGGCCAAGAUGACAUCUUCCACAAGACUAACUUAAAGAACAGCUCACACACUAAAUUCAUAUCUGCUCCUCCCCUCUCACCCCAUCCAUGAGGCUGAGAUGCAGCCUUUGGGCCAGCCCUGGGCUAGAACGCAUGUCUGCUUACUCCAUCCGGUUUGUGUAGCUGCCUCUAGCGAUGUCAGGGAGAUGCAUCAAGAUGCUUUGCAGUGCCCACCACAACAGCAGCAGCAGCUGAUAGUGUCCGGGGAUAGCUACCCCGGCAGGUGCCAGCUCACAGGGUCACCUGUACUACAUCUGAGGUGCUCUAGGAAAGCACAGCCCAGCCAGUGGCCUGUCCUGAAAGGGGAGUCUGCUGAGACCAGAGAACCAGGCAGUGCUGGCAAAGCACUGGUCACAAACAGCUGCAGGGCCAGGUGCAGGGGGAAAGCCCACUGCUAAGAGGCCUGGCUCCUGGAGCAGCACUGGUGACAGGCCAAGUUAGAGCUGGGUAGGGGGGUGCUCUGGGGCAAGGGGCAGGAGCCAGCACAGGUACAUCCAUGCAGCGCUAGGCACCUGCCUACCCAGAGGGCAAGGGCAAGCCCCAGCAACACCCAGGUUGGGAUGGUUCAUUUGUAACUUGUGCGAGCACUGAACAAAAGAGAGGAAAAUGCUGAGAGGUCCCUCCACCCUGAGCCUUGUCCCCGAGGCACCAAGAAAGGCUCCUUCCUGUUGUCCUGCAUGGCCAGGGCUUGGGGCACAACAGGAUCACCAGCUCCUUCCCUUGCCUGGCAGUCCCCCUCUCUCUGAUACCAGCUGCCUUGUCACUGGCUGCUUCUACAAGCAGGACCCCAAGCUGAGCUGCCAGGGGUCGGUUGGACGCUAGCAGCCCUAGACCCACAGGCAGUGCUAGGCCUCCCAGGAGCUCCUGGCCCGCAUGAGCCCAGCUGCAGCCGCGCUUCCCCCUUGGGAUCUGCAGCCCCCGAUUUUCAGCUUUGUGCUUCGGCGCUGAAAAGCAGCUCCCACCCCAGCUGCCACCAGAAAGGUGAAGGCCCCGCCCCCCCCGCCUUUGGGCACCUACGGGGGGACAGCGGUAUUCUGCCCUCGCGGCUCUCACCCGCGCCCCCGUGAAUCCUAACACCUGCCCCAGCGUGGGCCCGGCCGGGCCGGAGCUCCCCCAGGCCGCAGCCCCAACCCCGCCCGUGUGCACGGAGUCUACAGCGGGGCGCAGCGGCCGCUCCCAGCGCUCGCGCGGACACGGCCACGGGCGCGGAGGGGCGGGCCCGCCUCAGCACUGGCCGCCACCCCGCCCCCCGCUGCAGCCGGCUCCCGCCUCUAGGCCCCGCCCGGCUUCUCCCGCAGCUGCAGCGUCCCCGCCACCCGCGGGGGGCGCCCUGGGCGCGGGCGCCGCUCUGCCCGUCGCGCUCUAUGGCUGCGUUGCGCCGCCGCCAUCGCGACUGUGAGUCCCCGGCGCUGCCCUUUGCGCCUUGACCCGGUGACCUCGAGGGGGCGGAAGUGCCGGGAACAUGCGAGCCGGGCAAUGGCGGAAGCGCGGGGCCGCGGCAGGCCCCUGUCGGCCGCGGAGUCCAGGGUGGCGGGGAUCAGCCUGCAGGAGGCGAAGCAGAUCCUCAACGUGUCCAGCCUCGCACCCGAGGAAAUCCAGAAGGUGUUGAGAGCCAAGGAGCGGCUGGAUGAGGAGCUGUGGAUCCAGGCCCAGAGCCAAAAAGAGGAAGAGCAGAAGCCAGAGACAUAACUCUGUCCCCUGUUUCCCCCACUAAAUUAUAGCUAGCCAGGAAAUA